rnacentral:rRNA from 1 species
AACGAACGCUGGCGGCAUGCCUAACACAUGCAAGUCGAACGAGACCUUCGGGUCUAGUGGCGCACGGGUGCGUAACGCGUGGGAACCUGCCCUUAGGUUCGGAAUAACUCCCCGAAAGGGGUGCUAAUACCGGAUAAUGUCUUCGGACCAAAGAUUUAUCGCCUUUGGAUGGGCCCGCGUUGGAUUAGCUAGUUGGUAGGGUAAAAGCCUACCAAGGCGACGAUCCAUAGCUGGUCUGAGAGGAUGAUCAGCCACACUGGGACUGAGACACGGCCCAGACUCCUACGGGAGGCAGCAGUGGGGAAUAUUAGACAAUGGGCGAAAGCCUGAUCCAGCAAUGCCGCGUGAGUGAUGAAGGCCUUAGGGUUGUAAAGCUCUUUUACCCGGGAUGAUAAUGACAGUACCGGGAGAAUAAGUUCCGGCUAACUCCGUG